GCUUAGGCUGAGGGAGGGAUUUUUCUUGGUGGCCAGGCUACAUAGGUCUUUAACGGUUGCCAUGGUGCUCUUCAGCUCAGAGAGCCUGUUGUGUGGUAGUUCCUAUGCUCAGCCACUGAGGCGAAGUGGAGGACCGGAGCUGGAGAGCUGGUUGGCUCUCUCUCACACAGAAUUUUACCUUUGUAGCGUGUGGAGCUUCCAGUUUGUUUUUCCUAAAUAACUACACCCCCCUCACCCCCCACCCCCCGGCAAAAGCUUAUGGUGACCUGAGGUGAAUUUCUGCUGCUGUUGUCAGGACUUGGUUCAUUAGAUGAGUCCGAGUCUGAGGAGUUUUCCAGGUCACUCGCCUUGGCCUCCAGCAUCAGCUGUUAAAUCUUUUUCGGCUUUUUGCGACACAGCUUUGUAGAUGAUGAAGCCCGAUCCACAUUUCAGGCAGGACUGAUGGCAGAGGAUGACUUUCCCAGAAGUGCGGUGUGCCCUCAUUAACGGGAAACCUCCAGGAAGGGAUGGUGUCCCGGGGGUCCCUUCCUCCCAGCCCGGAUGACAUGAGUUUUCCUUCGUCCCCAGCUGUUUGUAAAGGCUAAAAUGGAGGAGUACUGGGCAGCUGGCUCGACCGGCCUAGUGAUGAGUUUAAAUCUCAGAUAACGUUGUUUUAGAGAAGUAGGCCCAGUAACUCAGCUGCGGGGCUUUUCAGAAUCUAGAUGCUAAACUCUCCAUGCCUUCAAGAUUAAAUGCCUAGUUCUUUACACACAGUUCUGGGUAGUUGAUCUGUAGCCAGCCGCCCUCCUGGGAAUGUACCCCAGACCUUUAGAAAGACAUUGAUGUGCAUAGAAAGUGCUUGUGAGAUACUGAUUUAGUUUUAUAGGAAAAAGAAAGUUAAAACACUCCCUUAGUUGGUUCAACCGCAUUAAGAAAGAAAAGAAAAAGAAGGAA
rnacentral:lncRNA from 1 species